rnacentral:lncRNA from 1 species
GCGAAUUUAACUCGAGUUGGAGCUUGUGCAGAAGGAAGUCCUCGUGCCACUCUCAGUGCCACUGGGGUAGAGUUGGCCAGACGAGGCUGUGGGGGCACAGCUCAGGCGGCAGGGACGGGGACAGACACGAGGCAGGCCCUGCUGAGCCAUCGGAGCGUGGCAGUCCAGGCACAGGGGUCAUGUGCAUGGCGUCCUGGGUCCAGAGGACAGAGGCCCAGCUGCCCUGUGCGGAGUUUCGGGUGUCCUCCCGGGAGGGAGGUCCAAGAGCGCCCCGCAUCAGCCUGAGGGAGGGGAGGCUUCUGCGUCCUGGGAGCUGUGCAACCCCUGCCGGAACAAUCAAGAAACUGAGGCAGGGGAGAGAACGGGACUGACUGUGUCCACGAGGGUAAGCAGUGUCCAGUCAGGAAUGGAGGGGCCUGGCUUCCCAGGCCAGGCUCAGCCCUACAGGGUCUGCAAGGGGAAUGAAGGCCCCUCAGAUCUGGGGGAUCCCUGCCCCCCCCUCCUCUGUAGGCCAUUUCCUCUCUGCUUUAUGAGCUGCACCCAGAAGUGCAGCACACACUCACUUAUACUCCCUCACAUGCUAACACACUCACACACAUAGACUCACAGGGCCCAGGGCAGAGGAGCGGGACCCUGGGAGGUAAGGAAGAAGGAAGACGUUGGAGGCAGCUCUGCCAAGGCCCAGGGGCAUCCAGUCUCCUAGCAGCAAGCCAGGGUCAUUGCAUGGGAGGGGGGACUUUCCACGGUGAUGGGGUCCCCCCAGGCUCCCAGGGUCUGUCUGCCUGGGCUGGGGACACCCCCAGAGCAGCCCAAGAGGACACACUGGGGCCCAGAGCCCAUGGAUUGGGUCACGUGGGAGAGGAUGAGACCCCUCAGUGAGGGGGGCCCACAGGAGAGGAGGACUCAGUCCUGCUCUAUGAAUUAGAUGCUCGGCCCGGGUGAUGCAGGGUCCCGCGGCUCCUGAAAGUUUCUGGAAGUUUCUGAAACGCGGUCCUCCGUUGAUGGCCCAGGGCCCCUGUGUUGCUAGCACAUGGUUCCUCUUCACUGGGCUCCCCCUGAGCAGAGCAGCCCAGGGACUGGGCACCUAGAGCCCCGGGCCCCUCGUCCUAGGUCCAGGGCGAGACCAUCCCUGUGGACUCAUGGGGUCCUCAGUUGGACGUGGCUGGGGUCACUGUCCUGGCUGGGAGCCUGGAGCCCUCUGGAGUGAGCCGGACACCUGGGGCAGCAGAGGAAAGGGGACAAGGGAGACUGAAAUCCUUCAUCACGCAGGGCUGGCUCUUGCACCCUCUGGGCCUCUGGGGGACUCCACGCCCAGCCGCAGUUCAGGUGUCCUGCCAGGGCGCAGUGCUACUGCUGGCCACCAGGGGGAGCAGUCCCUACCGUGCUGCAGGGACCCUGCCUCCCACCCAGGGGCACUCCAGCCUGGAGGAGAUCCUGUGCCCAGGGCGAGCUGCCCGGGGCAGGACAGCUCGGGCUGCUCUCACCUCCUCUCUCGGCCCCAUGCCGAACACCACCAAACCAUGGCCAUGAGCCAAGUCCAGUGUCCCAGUCACCGGAAGCCGUUCCCUCACCCCCGUCACCUCCCUGGCCCCCGGCCCCUAACGUGCUCCUGUCUCCGUGGACGCGAAGCGGCGGCCCACGUCACCUGAGGCUCAGUGUGUGCCUUUCGGGGAGUGGCUUCUUCCGUUGGAGUGUCACCGUUCCCCUUGCUGUAGCGUGUGUCCAACGGCACCCUCUCCACGAGUCGGGCUCUGUGCUGUGGACGACACCACAGCGCGUGGUUUCCCCCACUCACCCCUGGGGGGCGCUGCGGUUGUCCCUACUUGAGGCUGUCGGGGGCCUGAGGGCGUGGCUGGAGAAGUGGGCGGGGCCGUCAGAGACCCCAGGUUGGCACCGGCGACUCUCAGGACCCUCGUGCAGACCUCAGGAGCUCCCGAGAGUCGGACGGCUGGAGGAGAGCAGACGCUCGGGAGGAGCCCGCUGUCUCGUCUCCUCACGGUAGCCCGCCCUGGCUUUUGCAGACCCAAGAAAGAACCUGGAAUACUUUUGUUUGGCGACCCACGUCUAAAGGAAUGACCUGACAGCACGCUGGCGAAGCCAGCCAGGAGCUGACAGAGGAGCGAGCCUUCGUGUGGCGUUUCAGCUUCUCUUGGGGGAGCACCAGGAAUGACGCUGCAGGCCGUGAGGUAGCUGUGUCCCUGCCAGUGCUGGAUGUGGGCUCUGGUUUCUCCCCAUCCUCGCCAGCCCUUGUUCUCAUCUGGCUUUCAAUUCUGGCGUCUGGGUGGGCCGAAGUCGCACUUCCUGUGCCUUUGAUCUGCCCCAGGUUCCUAGUUACUAAUGAUGCUAAGCAUCAUCUCCCAUCCUAUUGGCCAUCGCAGACCAGGCCUGGAGGAGAACCUGUCAAAUCCAACGCCUGUUUUGAAGGGGCUGUUUGAUGUCACUGAGCUGUAUUUUGUAUCAAGUGCUCCUGGGUUUCUCUGGCCAGGCUGUGGGUCCCACCUCCCUGGGAUCUGGCGUCUGGGCCGACACGGGACCUCUGUGCACCUCCGGGCUCUUCCUUUCCCUUGCGGGCCUCUGUCUCCCAUGCUGGUCAGCGCUGCUGCCCCGUGUCCCUCCCCAGUCUCUGCCCCAGCAAGGCCGCCCCGCCCUGGGUCCCUCUCUGCCGGAUCCCUCUCUGCCCUCCGGCUUCGAGCUGCCAUGAGGACGGCUGACCUCGUCUGCCCCGCUCAGGGAUCGCAUCGCAGCCGAGCCCCACUGGGGUCGGCGUCUACACAGCCCGUCACGGGUUCUGACCCGCUUUCCCUUCGUCCAUGGCGGGACGGCCGCCCACACCUGUCACUCCCAGCCCCCAGGCAGACGGCACGGCACCGGCACUCUGGGCCGGACCAUUGCAGUAUCGUCCCAGCUGCUCCUCUGCUUCUGUGCUCCUCACGACCUGUCCUCGGUGAGCACGGGGCCGACCCUUUAAGAGUGCCUCACCCUCACUCUGUCAAGGCCUCCAGGGCCCCAUUCCCCUCAGAGGAGAGCCUGGGGUCCUUGUAACACCCUCAGCCCCACAGCGGGCCCUGCCCUCCCGGGCCCGAGUUUCUGCCCGUCCUCCCCAUACCUUCCCGGCACGUGCCAGGCCCCGGCGCCCCCAGGCCAGCACUGACGUCCCUCCCCCAGGCGCCUCUCCCGCCGGCCGUUCAUGCCUCACUUCCCCCACUAUCUUCAGUUCUCUGAGCAAAUGCCGCCUUGGUGAGGCUGACCGCACCCUUCCAUCUAAAACACAAACACCCCUUGUCCCCCCAGCCACUGUCCGACCUGUUCCAUUUGCUUUUCCCCCAUAGCCCUUAUGACCUUUAAUAAAAAUGAUAUAUAAUUAUAUGAAUCAGCGAUCAAUCAGGAGCGAGAAC